GCUUGUCAUAAGAAAGACAAAGAAAUGACGAAGGUUCUGGUGUUUUGGAUUUUUUUUUCCUUCUCUCCUUCUAAGAUGGGGAAACUGAGAUGGAGAAGUGAUUGCUUAACCUCAACGACCAGGCCAGCAGAAGAACAAAAAGCUCCUGAUUGCAGGUUAGAGCUUUAAGAAAUGCUGUUCUUUGUGUACUUACCUAAAGCUGCAUUGGAAUUCUUUUUCUAAAUUUUCCCAAACUUUGGACACUAGGGUGCUUAAUCACAGCAGUAGUCUGCAUUGAGUACUAUCUUUUGUUGUAAAACUAAAGCAAUGCACAGUGGAGUUAUGUGUAAGAAAUAACUGUGUUUUGCUAAAUCUUCUGGCUUAUAUAGUGAAGUCUGCC
rnacentral:lncRNA from 1 species